GAUUUACUUUCUAAAUCAAUCACAUGCUCUUGUUUUGUUUACCCCUCUGCCCAUUAUAAGACCAACUCCAUUCCCACCGUCAACUUCUGAUGCUGACCCACUUCCAAUCAAAACAUACGGUUCUUGAUCUCAUUCCAUUCCACCUAUUAACUCAAUAACUUCUACCCAUUUGAUCACAAGCUAACUCAGUUGACACUUGCUUAGCUCCCAAACAACUUUACAAAACAAAACAAAAGAAAAUAGAUAGAUAAGAAAAGGAGUGAGCUUUGCAAAGAAAUGAGAGCUCUUUCUCUUCAAAUUUUCUUAUUCUUUCUUGUUCAAACUGUUAAUGGAGAGAAUCCUUCACGUGGAAAGUUACUAACGGUGACAUCUACCCUUUAGGUGUUAAGCAACAGUCUACAGAGCCAAAAUUAAACAGAAACUAAAAUACAAGAGUUAGGGGGGACAUAUUUCCUUGAUGCUCCUGCAUCAUGCAACAGACUUGCGUGGUGGCCUGAAUGUUGUCCUCCGGGCAUAGUAAACUGUGAUGAUGAGUAUAACAUUACUUAUUAUGAUAGUUUCCAUUCUCAUCAACUUCAAGAAAGAUCCGACUUGCAAUUUCAAUCAUUAGAUUGAGAAAAGAGAGGGUGAGAAAAUUACGUGGACAAGAGAAAAAGUAGAACAGACCUCGGAAUAAAUUUGAACAAGAUUGUGCCAGAGAGGCCUAAAAUCUUCAUCAAAGUAAACAUUGAUUGCACAAAAUGGCAUUAUUUCAAACUAUAUAAUUUACAUCUG